rnacentral:rRNA from 1 species
GGUCAAGUUUCUAAGAGCAAACGGUGGAUGCCUUGGCAUCUGGAGCCGAAGAAGGACGUAGAAAUCUGCGAUAAGCCUCGGGGAGCUGAUAAUCGAGCUGUGAGCCGAGGAUUUCCGAAUGGGGAAACCCCGCCAGGCGACUUGUCGACCUGGUGACUCCCGCCUGAAUAUAUAGGGCGGGUAGAGGGAACGUGGGGAAGUGAAACAUCUCAGUACCCACAGGAAGAGAAAACAACAUGUGAUUCCGUGAGUAGUGGCGAGCGAAAGCGGAUGAGGCUAAACCGAUCAUGUGUGAUAGCCGGCGGGCGUUGCAUGGUCGGGGUUGUGGGACACGUCGCUCAGUUCUGCCGGACUGGGACGGUUACAGCGCAUCAUAGUCGAACCGGUUUGAAAGCCGGGCCGUAGUGGGUGCCAGCCCCGUAGACGAAAUGGUGUUAUGGCCGGAUGUGUAUCCCAAGUAGCACGGGGCCCGAGAAAUCCCGUGUGAAUCUGUCAGGACCACCUGAUAAGCCUAAAUACUCCCAGAUGACCGAUAGCGGACAAGUACCGUGAGGGAAAGGUGAAAAGUACCCCGGGAGGGGAGUGAAAUAGUACCUGAAACCGUUUGCUUACAAACCGUCGGAGCCUCCUUGUAGGGGUGACGGCGUGCCUUUUGAAGAAUGAGCCUGCGAGUUAGUGAUAUGUGGCGAGGUUAACCCGUGUGGGGCAGCCGUAGCGAAAGCGAGUCUGAAUAGGGCGAUUCAGUCGCAUGUCCUAGACCCGAAGCGAAGUGAUCUAUCCAUGGCCAGGUUGAAGCGACGGUAAGACGUCGUGGAGGACCGAACCCACUUCAGUUGAAAAUGGAGGGGAUGAGCUGUGGAUAGGGGUGAAAGGCCAAUCAAACUUCGUGAUAGCUGGUUCUCUCCGAAAUGCAUUUAGGUGCAGCGUUGCGUGUUUCUCGCCGGAGGUAGAGCUACUGGAUGGCCGAUGGGCCUCAACAGGUUACUGACGUCAGCCAAACUCCGAAUGCCGGUGAGUGAGAGCGCAGCAGUGAGACGGUGGGGGAUAAGCUUCAUCGUCGAGAGGGAAACAACCCAGACUACCAACUAAGGCCCCUAAGCGUGUGCUAAGUGGGAAAGGAUGUGGAGUUGCACAGACAACCAGGAGGUUGGCUUAGAAGCAGCCACCCUUGAAAGAGUGCGUAAUAGCUCACUGGUCAAGUGAUUCCGCGCCGACAAUGUAACGGGGCUCAAGCACACCGCCGAAGUUGUAGAUUUCGCACACAGACAAGCCUUCGUGGUUCAGUCGUGCGGAGUGGUAGGAGAGCGUCGUGUGGCGAGUGAAGCGGCGGAGUAAUCCAGCCGUGGACGCCACACGAGUGAGAAUGCAGGCAUGAGUAGCGAAAGACGGGUGAGAAACCCGUCCUCCGAAAGACCAAGGGUUCCAGGGCCAGGUUAAUCCGCCCUGGGUAAGUCGGGACCUAAGGCGAGGCCGACAGGCGUAGUCGAUGGACAACGGGUUGAUAUUCCCGUACCGGCGAACAACCGCCCAAGCUAAUCCAGUGGUGCUAAGAGUCCUAACCCGGACUUCCGGAUCCCUUCGGGGUGAUGGUGUCCGGUCUAACGCUCGACCCCAUGCUGGUGCGGCUAGCGUAUGAACAGGUGUGACGCAGGAAGGUAGCUGAGCCAGGCGAUGGUAUCCGUAAGGUGAACCUGGUGUAAGGAUGUAGGGCUGACGAUAGGCAAAUCCGUCGUCUGUGUGCCUGAGAUCCGACGCGUACCCGUCAGGGGAAAUCAGUGAUCCUAUGCUGCCGAGAAAAGCAUCGACGCGAGGUUGCAGCCGCCCGUACCCGAAACCGACUCAGGUGGUCAGGUAGAGAAUACCAAGGAGAUCGAGAGAAUCGUGGUUAAGGAACUCGGCAAAAUGCCCCCGUAACUUCGGGAGAAGGGGGGCCGGACACGUGAUACGACUUCUCGUCGUUGAGCGUUGAAGGCCGCAGAGACCAGUGGGAAGCGACUGUUUACUAAAAACACAGGUCCGUGCGAAGUCGCAAGACGAUGUAUACGGACUGACGCCUGCCCGGUGCUGGAAGGUUAAGAGGAAGGGUUAGCCU